GUGGGGAAUCUUGCGCAAUGGGCGAAAGCCUGACGCAGCCAUGCCGCGUGAAUGAUGAAGGUCUUAGGAUUGUAAAAUUCUUUCACCGGGGACGAUAAUGACGGUACCCGGAGAAGAAGCUCCGGCUAACUUCGUGCCAGCAGCCGCGGUAAUACGAAGGGGGCUAGCGUUGCUCGGAAUUACUGGGCGUAAAGGGCGCGUAGGCGGACAGCUUAGUCAGAGGUGAAAGUCCAGGGCUCAACCUUGGAAUUGCCUUUGAUACUGGCUGUCUUGAGUUUGGGAGAGGUGAGUGGAACUCCGAGUGUAGAGGUGAAAUUCGUAGAUAUUCGGAAGAACACCAGUGGCGAAGGCGACUCACUGGCCCAAUACUGACGCUGAGGCGCGAAAGCGUGGGGAGCAAACAGGAUUAGAUACCCUAGUAGUCC
rnacentral:rRNA from 1 species